rnacentral:rRNA from 1 species
GACGAACGCUGGCGGCGUGCCUAACACAUGCAAGUCGAACGGAAAGGCCCUGCUUUUGUGGGGUGCUCGAGUGGCGAACGGGUGAGUAACACGUGAGUAACCUGCCCUUGACUUUGGGAUAACUUCAGGAAACUGGGGCUAAUACCGGAUAGGAGCUCCUGCUGCAUGGUGGGGGUUGGAAAGUUUCGGCGGUUGGGGAUGGACUCGCGGCUUAUCAGCUUGUUGGUGGGGUAGUGGCUUACCAAGGCUUUGACGGGUAGCCGGCCUGAGAGGGUGACCGGCCACAUUGGGACUGAGGUACGGCCCAGACUCCUACGGGGGGCAGCGGUGGGGAAUAUUGCACAGUGGGCGGAAGCCUGAUGCAGCAACGCCGCGUGCGGGAUGACGGCCUUCGGGUUGUAAACCGCUUUCGCCUGUGACGAAGCGUGAGUGACGGUAAUGGGUAAAGAAGCACCGGCUAACUACGUG